rnacentral:rRNA from 1 species
UACGAAGGGGGCUAGCGUUGCUCGGAAUCACUGGGCGUAAAGCGCACGUAGGCGGGUCGUUAAGUCGGGGGUGAAAUCCUGGAGCUCAACUCCAGAACUGCCUUCGAUACUGGCGAUCUUGGAGUCCGGGAGAGGUGGGUGGAACUGCGAGUGUAGAGGUGAAAUUCGUAGAUAUUCGCAAGAACACCAGUGGCGAAGGCGGCUCACUGGCCCGGUACUGACGCUGAGGUGCGAAAGCCAGGGGAGCAAACGGG